UACGUAGGGUGCGAGCGUUGUCCGGAAUUAUUGGGCGUAAAGGGCUCGUAGGCGGUCUGUCGCGUCGGGAGUGAAAACUCAGGGCUUAACCCUGAGCCUGCUUCCGAUACGGGCAGACUAGAGGUAUGCAGGGGAGAACGGAAUUCCUGGUGUAGCGGUGGAAUGCGCAGAUAUCAGGAGGAACACCGGUGGCGAAGGCGGUUCUCUGGGCAUUACCUGACGCUGAGGAGCGAAAGUGUGGGAGCGAACAGG
rnacentral:rRNA from 1 species